UCAUAUUUGUCAAGGUUUCCCUUCUGGUUCAUGGAAAGUUUAAAUUUGCAAUAAGGAACUGCAAAAAGAGUACACCACUUCAUUUGACCAAAAGGUCGUUCACCAGAGUCCAUGUUACUAAUUUGUGACUCUUCGUUAGCAAUACUUGAACAACCUUAUUGCCAAGAACUUUAAACAAACAAACAACACAUGCACCAGUUGCGGUUCUCUGCGAAAACCACAAUGAUUAUUAACCAUUAGUAAUUUGGCACCAAGUAUAGAUGAAACUUAAGUUUAAAAAAAUAAACAAAGAUUACUACUCCACAAACCCACUCAAAGCAUGAAUUGUCUGUUAGUUAUUAAAAAACAGCUUUGAUCAGUUUGAACAAUAGCCAUAAGUGAUGCAGGAUGAUAAUCUAUAUUUAAUAUUUUUUAUCAAUCUGACAAAGACCCCCUUGGACUAUUGCCAAGGCACCACGUGAUUCAGUGUUUAUAAACAUUAGGAUAUUUCCUGUAUUAAUUUUUAAAAGGACAGACUAGGGGUGAAUACGGAAAUCAAUCGGACUAUUGAAACAAAUCAACAUACAAUUCAAUUAAAAAUAUUGAAAAAGUUCUCGGAUCAUUGAAUGGACAUUUGGCAUGUACAGCGACAACCAGCUGGUUCUGGACAAGCUUGUUAAAAACAUUGAAGAAGAUAUCACAGAGGUGAAAGAAAAAUCAAAAUUAUCUUACCCUAGAGCAGAGGAAAACGAAUUCCAUACACCGUGGAACAAGAGUUUUGUCGAAAAGCUCAAGAACUUAUACCAAAUAAUGGUUCCCCAAGUGACUAGGUUACAAAAUGAACUGGAAAACUCUGAAAAAGAUAAGGAGAAACGGGUGGCCAUUUAUUUCUUUUCAAAAGAAGAAUACAACAUACGCUGUGCGCAGAAUCUAGGACGAUUUUUGCAGAAAGCUGGGGAUUCGUUCGAUUAUCGCUAUGCAGAUACUAGGAAUGAAGAACUUGGUGGUUUGGCGAAAUGGUUUGGCAAAGAAAUAAUACGGUGGAUUCUCUCUUGAAAAAACCUCAAGAAAAAUUAUUGGAGCAUAACCACUUGCAAAUGCAGGACGAAGUCAAAACUGGCGCAUAACCUUGACGGUACCGUGAUGUUGUUAUGAAGAGCGGAUGGCAGCUGGCCAAAGUGUCGCAUAAGGAACGGGUGCCAGGGUGUUGCUACAGAGAGCACGAUGAGUCACCUGUUCCGUUUAAAGCAAAGAAAUGGGAACUUUUUGUGUUGCAGAUUUUGUGACCUUUUCAUUGAACAUUGCAAUUUUGAAGUCUUAUUAAACAUAUGUGCACUUUU